AUUGAACGCUGGCGGCAUGCCUUACACAUGCAAGUCGAACGGUAACGCGGGGCAACCUGGCGACGAGUGGCGAACGGGUGAGUAAUGUAUCGGAACGUGCCCAGUUGUGGGGGAUAACUGCUCGAAAGAGCAGCUAAUACCGCAUACGACCUGAGGGUGAAAGCGGGGGAUCGCAAGACCUCGCGCAGUUGGAGCGGCCGAUAUCAGAUUAGGUAGUUGGUGGGGUAAAGGCUCACCAAGCCAACGAUCUGUAGCUGGUCUGAGAGGACGACCAGCCACACUGGGACUGAGACACGGCCCAGACUCCUACGGGAGGCAGCAGUGGGGAAUUUUGGACAAUGGGCGCAAGCCUGAUCCAGCCAUGCCGCGUGCGGGAAGAAGGCCUUCGGGUUGUAAACCGCUUUUGUCAGGGAAGAAAAGACUCCUGUUAAUACCGGGGGUUCAUGACGGUACCUGAAGAAUAAGCACCGGCUAACUACGUGCCAGCCGCCGCAGUAAGAC
rnacentral:rRNA from 1 species